GCAUAUCAAUAAGCGGAGGAAAAGAAACUAACAAGGAUUCCCCUAGUAGCGGCGAGCGAAGCGGGAAGAGCUCAAAUUUAUAAUCUGGCACCUUCGGUGUCCGAGUUGUAAUCUCUAGAAAUGUUUUCCGCGUUGGACCGCACACAAGUCUGUUGGAAUACAGCGGCAUAGUGGUGAGACCCCCGUAUAUGGUGCGGACGCCCAGCGCUUUGUGAUACAUUUUCGAAGAGUCGAGUUGUUUGGGAAUGCAGCUCAAAUUGGGUGGUAAAUUCCAUCUAAAGCUAAAUAUUGGCGAGAGACCGAUAGCGAACAAGUACCGUGAGGGAAAGAUGAAAAGCACUUUGGAAAGAGAGUUAACAGUACGUGAAAUUGUUGGAAGGGAAACGCUUGAAGUCAGACUUGCUUGCUGAGCAAUCGGUUUGCAGGCCAGCAUCAGUUUUCCGGGAUGGAUAAUGGUAGAGAGAAGGUAGCAGUUUCGGCUGUGUUAUAGCUCUCUGCUGGAUACAUCUUGGGGGACUGAGGAACGCAGUGUGCCUUUGGCGGGGGUUUCGACCUCUUCACACUUAGGAUGCUGGUGGAAUGGCUUUAAACGACCCGUCUUGAAACACGGACCAAGGAGUCUAACAUGCUUGCGAGUAUUUGGGUGUCAAACCCGGAUGCGUAAUGAAAGUGAAUGGAGGUGGGAACCGCAAGGUGCACCAUCGACCGAUCUGGAUUUUUAAUGAUGGAUUUGAGUAAGAGCACGUAUGUUGGGACCCGAAAGAUGGUGAACUAUGCCUGAAUAGGGCGAAGCCAGAGGAAACUCUGGUGGAGGCUCGUAGCGGUUCUGACGUGCAAAUCGAUCGUCAAAUUUGGGUAUAGGGGCGAAAGACUAAUCGAACCAUCUAGUAGCUGGUUCCUGCCGA
rnacentral:rRNA from 1 species